rnacentral:rRNA from 1 species
CCUACGGGGGGCUGCAGUGGGGAAUAUUGGACAAUGGGGGCAACCCUGAUCCAGCCAUGCCGCGUGUGUGAAGAAGGCCCUCGGGUUGUAAAGCACUUUCAGUGAGGAAGAACGCCUGGUGGUUAAUACCCAUCAGGAAAGACAUCACUCACAGAAGAAGCACCGGCUAACUCCGUGCCAGCAGCCGCGGUAAUACGGAGGGUGCGAGCGUUAAUCGGAAUUACUGGGCGUAAAGCGCGCGUAGGUGGCUUGAUGAGCCGGUUGUGAAAGCCCCGGGCUCAACCUGGGAACGGCAUCCGGAACUGUCAAGCUAGAGUGCAGGAGAGGAAGGUAGAAUUCCCGGUGUAGCGGUGAAAUGCGUAGAGAUCGGGAGGAAUACCAGUGGCGAAGGCGGCCUUCUGGACUGACACUGACACUGAGGUGCGAAAGCGUGGGUAGCAAACAGGAUUAGAUACCCCGGUAGUC